GAAUUUUGAGUCACUUAAUCAAGCAUUAUUUACUUGAACUCAGCUCAAGUCACUACUUGAGUUACUCUAGUCCAAGCUUGACUUGAUUAAACCCAAGUUGAAUUUGAAUAGUUUCAAAUCAAAUCCAAGUACCUCAUGAAUAGUUUGGCUUAUUUAAAUCCCAAUCUAUGACAUUGCUAUUUUAUCUCACUGCUGUAUAGCUUAUUAAACGUACUCACAUUUUCAGGGAGAAAGGAACUUUAACAGG
rnacentral:misc_RNA from 1 species